rnacentral:rRNA from 1 species
UACGUAGGGUGCAAGCGUUUGUCCGGAAUUAUUGGGCGUAAAGAGCUUGUAGGCGGUUUGUCGCGUCUGCUGUGAAAUUUCGGGGCUCAACCCCCGAACUUGCAGUGGGUACGGGCAGACUAGAGUGUGGUAGGGGAGACUGGAAUUCCUGGUGUAGCGGUGAAAUGCGCAGAUAUCAGGAGGAACACCGGUGGCGAAGGCGGGUCUCUGGGCAGUAACUGACGCUGAGGAGCGAAAGCGUGGGGAGCAAACAGG